ensembl:lncRNA
CAGGAAGUCAGAUUGCAGUCAACUGAAGAAUGAGUGGGCAGAUAUUCCUCUUUUUAGUUGAGCUUAGUAACUCCAGUGGAAACUACUCUUUGCAGAAAUUAGACUGUUUAGAGAAUGAAAGAUAAAACAGUAGCUUGAGGGGCAUUCACGGUUGAAAGAGAGUUCUUUUCUGUUGGAGGAAACAUGGGCAGACUUGUUGCUAAGAGAAAGAAAGCAGUGGAGAGGAAGAGCUGAUUAAUGGAGAAAGAAUUUAGGAGAAUAGGAGGAGAAGAAGUCAAGAGGAAAAGCCACAGGGGUCAGUCUCACAAAACAACAUUCUGCCUGAGGUGAAAGGAAACAGGAUAAUCAAUAAGAACACAGAGACAUUUUGAGGGGUGAUGAGUUGAAGAAGCUCUUGAAGUUUACGCGGGGGAUCUUUACUUUCCAGGGGAGCAAGCAAACGUAGCUGACUGGGGAGCAUCUUCCUUACCCGCUGUGGCAGAAGUAAAUAAAUAAAAAAGAAUACAUCAUGCAGAACAUCUUGGAAACACCAGCCCGGGGAAAAGAGAGUCAAAGCUGCAGUCUCAGCUGUGUUUCUGAGGUUGUGCCCACCCAUCCCACGAUAGGGACCCCUGCUCUUCUGAAAUCCCUCCCAAGUUCGGAGGGUCACCUUUGCUGGCCUGCGCAUCUGCUCAGCCUCGGCAUGAAAGUCCACUCUUCACUGGUGAAGGCAGAGCUCCUGAUGCCAGACGAAACCUCAUUUCCUUCUUCCUCCAUCCACUUGCUCUCUGGACUCCAUGUACCGUGUGUCUCUUGUUGGCGCUGGGUCAACACAGGAGCCUGUGAAUGCCUCUUUGGAGAGAAGAAAGUGAGCUGCUCCCUUUGUCCAGCCACUUGGAGGAACCCCAGCAGAGUGGCCAGUCUCCUCCAGUAGCUUAUGGAGAUGCUAAUGCACCUGUUUUUGUUUCUACCUUCUCUCCCCAGGACUCUCUCAACAUUCCCUGAUGAAAAGAGAGCUUGAUAUGUGGUCCCUCUGCCUGACUUCACUGACUCCUUCCUACUGAGCUUCUCUGGUGGGAACUCCCCACCAACCUCCAGAUAGGCCCAUGUAUCUGACUUCCCCUCGAGAUGGGGACCCCUGCUACACGGUAACUAACAUACAGAUAGAGCAUAAUCCAUGCUAUAUUUUUAAUUAUAUCCUUUAAUUAAACCCUAAACUUUUUUUUUUAAAGAUUGGCCCUGAGUUAAUAUGUGUUGCCAAUCUUUUAUUUUUUUUUUUUUUUACUUCUUUCCGUCAAAGUCCCCCAGUACAUAUUUGUAUAUUCUAGUUGUGGGUCCUUCUAGUUCCUCUAUGUAGGACGCCGCCUCAGCAUGGCCUGAUGAACAGUGCUAGGUCCACGCCCAGGAUCCAAACUGGCGAAACCCUGGACUGAAGCGGCGCACGCAAACCUAACCACCUGCCUACAGGGCCAGCCCCAACCCUAAACUCUUCAACUGUACCCUCAAGUAAUGCGAUUUCAAGACGCUUCAGUUCUCGGUCAUCCUUUCAGGACACUUCAUAGUGUGUCAGUUGUUCAAGAGAGCGUUAUUCUGACACUCGCUACAAUGGUAAGGAAGACUUAGUCAAGACUGUUGCAAUAGAGGUGCUGCAACGGGGAGAGAGACUCAGCUCUGCUCCAAAGACAGCCAAGACAGCUGGGGGUGCACAGCCGACGGGCCAAGUGAGGGCAGUGGAAGGAAAAGUACUAAGAAGAGACAUCAGGCCUGGGAGGAUUCCUGCUAAACUGACUUGGCAGGAUUCUGGCAAUAACAGGGCUUGGUACGUCAAAGAUAGGAUGGGGCCAAGGUCAAGGCCUAGUUGGAAAGAGAGCUCAGAGAAGCCUGACUAAAGUUUAAUCAAGGAGGGAAUCUUUGCCACAAUAUUGCAUGUUCUAAAAUGUGGCUCUUGGAGCUGAGCAAUGUAACACAGAGGCGAUCUGGCCAGUGCAGGGUCUAGAAGAGUGAUGUCCGUUCUUGAUGUGGAUGCUAAAUUCCUCUAGCAUUGAAGGUUGACAUCAGCUUGCACAGAACCCCAUGAUAUGGUUGGCUCACAAUUAAGAUUAUAGGCAGCUAAAACAUGGGUGUUUACUCACAAGAACUCUCCCUUUCCUAUCUACCCAUCAUCUUGCUACCCAAAUUAUCUUCCCCAAAUGCAGACCUGAGCAACCGCCAAUUGUCUAUCAGAUAAAAUCCGUCUACCUUAGCACAGCACGUAAGCCCAUCACAAUGAAGUUGAUUAGUUAGAGUGAAUUCCCCCAAAUUUGAGAAUCUCAGGGUCUAAUCCAACCGUCUUCCCUGAGGUAGAGUCCUGGGGAGGUGUAUUAGUCAGGAUUCUCCAGAGAAACAGAACCAAUAGUAUAUAUCGAUAUCUAGAAGAGAUUUCUUAUAGGAACUGGUUCACAAGGUGAUGGAGUCCCAGAAGCCCCAUGAUCCGCUGUCUGUAAGCUGGAGAACCAGGGAGCUGGUGGUGUGAUUCAGUCUGAGUCCAAAGGCCUGAGAGCCAGCGAGCUGACGGUGUAAAUCCUGAUCUGUGUCCAAAAGCCCAAGAACCAGGAGCACCAGUGUCCUAAAGCGGAAGAUGGAUGUCCCAGCUCAAGCAGAGAAAGUAAAUUCAUCCUCUCUCUGCCUCUUUUCUUCUAGUCAGUCCCUCAAGGGAUUGGAGAAUGCCCACCCACAUUGGGGAGAGCCAUCUGCUUUACUAAAUUCACGUCUUCAGAAGCUAAUCUCUUCCAGAAACACUCUCACAGACACACCCAGAAAUAAUGUUUUACCAGCUCUCUGGGCGUCCCUGAGCCCAGUCAAGCUGACACAUAAAAUUAACCAUCGCAGGAGGGGGGAGGCCUGAGGUAGUGUGAGGGCGGUGGGCUCCUACCCAAGGCCCCAGAGAAAUCAGGGCACAGAUGCCAAGAGCUGAGUCCUGGAGGGUUGCUGAGAUCAAAACCAGCAAGCGAGCCCCGGGUGAUGGUGGGUGCUGGGCAGAGAGGAGAAGCUGAAACAUCAGCUCCCAAUGAAGGAGGUUUCAAGGAAGCAGGGGGAAGCAAAGAGUCCCGCUCAAGGCAGGCAGGGGCAGGCGAGGGUUCUGGGCAAAUUCUAGAGCUGGAGUCUAGCUCCUGCAAAGGUUUCCCCCAGAUUUAAGCAUGGGUCUGUGCGCACGGGACAGGUUUAGUCACAGGGGCUGGAAUCGUUCUGACAGAAAGAAAUUUUGGAUUUUUGAGACUGUAAGGCCGGGCACCUGACUUAGAACAGGGAGAGCGAGGAGGUUUUAUCUCCUGUGUCAACGCUGGCAGAUCAUUGGCUGACUGAGCACUGAGCUGAGAAGGAUUCUGAAGACGCAUUUAAACUCAACAGAACAGUAUGUCCAAAUGCAUCAGUGACACCUGCCAAUAUCUGAGCGGAAGCGUGGAGUGACCUGGGAGCCAUACAUCACUAUUGCUGUCACUAGGCAGCCCUGGAGGGGCCCCACCACAAAGAUCAGCUGGCACGUCUGCCCUAGGGCCUCAUGCCCAUGAAUUUCUAAUAUUCACCCCCAAUAUAAGUUUUAUUUUAUAUCCAUCAGCUUUUCUUUUGCUCUUAUACAUAUUUAUUUCUUCUAUAAUUUGGUAUAAACGUUCCAAAAGUUUCCCCACUUGUGGCACUCUGAGUGUCUGGGUAGGUUUUCCAGUGUCCUUCGGCCAAAACAAAUACCUAGUGGUUCCAUUUAUUAAUUAGUUCUAAACAAGUGACAGGAGAUUUUCACAUAUUGAGGUACAUGGGGUAGUUAAUCCAAGUUCAAAACCCAUUCACUUGAACUAAAAAGCCUGACUUAUGGCCUCGCAAACAUGCAUUGUACAUCUGCUUAACCACGAAAAUGAAGAAGGCGCUCUCUCAAGAUAAGAACGCAUACUUCCCCUCCUGGCCCUGCUGGUGAGGCCGGGAUGAGCUCCCUUCCCGACAUCAGGGUCACGUAGACCUGCUAAUUUUCAACUGAACACCUCUUUGAAAAUGUAUCCUGGUGCAUUUAAUGUUUUCUUUAUUCUAAAAAGAUAUAAGACUACUCAAACCCAUGCUUCUCCGAACGCUUUCUAAGGCCUUCCCGGGUUAUAAUCCUCUCUCUGGCUCAGGUAAACUCACUCAAUUCUCUGAUCUCGAGAGUGUUUAUUGGUUAUUUUGUGUCAACACAACUUAAUAAAUAUUUAUGUCCGAACAGCUUCGGAGCUGUUUGAAAAAAAUGUGCGUAUAAAUAGAAAGGGAAAACAAUAAUUUUAUUUCAUUCUUAAAUAACCAAAAUUACUUCUUAAUGGCUAUGUAGCUUGUUGGGCACUGCAUGGUUGCUCAAACUUUGUGAUCAGACUUGUUAAAAAUGAUUAAAGAAGAGGAGUUAGGUGACAGAACUUGAACACUCCACGAAGCUCCGGCGCAGUCUCCAUUCCCAAGGGCCUGGCGAGUGGCAGAAUGGCGCGGAAGGCAGGGAGCUUUAAGAUUGAGGAGCAAGGAAGAGAAAAUAAACAAGAACAAGGAAAUAAGUAUGAUACCGACCCUGGGUUUGUAGGCUCUCUGUGCAACAGAAACUGACCAGAGGCACAGCCAAAGUCUGGCAAGGCUUCACUGGGGCUCAUGCUGGAGCACGAGGGGCACAGCACAGGGGGGUCGGCCCUGGAAGAGAGGCGUCCCGAGGGUUUUAUGGGGUGAGGGAGCGGACUGGCAUCCCGAUUCCCCUCUUCUGGAGGUGUUCUGCUUCGCUCUUCCCAGUGGGGUCGGCUUCUCAUGCCCCGUGGGGGCUGUGGUCCCCACCCCCGCCCAGCAGGUCCAACCCGGUGGUGUCGCACACUCCGCUGCCCCAGGAGGGUCCAGUGUGGUCCUCUGAGCCUUUGUGCACGUGUGGGGGUGGGUCGCCUGCCUGGGGGCGGUUUUGUGGUUGGAAGGUUGCUUAUCUUGACUUAGAAAGUAGCUGGGCUGAGAGGUGCCAGACCUGGUGGCUACGGGUGAAGGGCAGAGGCCAUCCCUAUUCUGUCUCAAGUAUAGAGCCCAGAGUGGGCCUGGCCUUGGGGACCGGCUGACUAGAUAUCCUGCGUUUGUGGUCAAGCAGAGCAUCUGCAGGGACACGAAAAUCAUCCAGAUUUUGUUUGGCUGACUUGGCUUCCCGCCCCCCACCAUGGGCAGGAGCGGCUCCAUCUCGGGCCUGGACGGUUAUUUCAGCAGACUGGACUGACAAAUAGAAAUGGCAAGCAAUAGGAUAUAUUGGAGUCUAUGAGGAAGCCAUUUGGUAUAAACCUAAUUCGGUCAGACUUUGUUUUUCCAAAAGGGCCUGACAUGGCCUUUGAGCAUGCAUCGUAUAUCUGCUUUAAACAUUUCCCAUGGCAAGAACAAAUGGCCUUAAGAUAAAGGUGCAACUUCCCCCGACAUUGACAUUUCCUUAAGGACAAGCAUCUCUCCCUAGACUAGGAAUGGAUGGCUGCGCUCACCUUUGACCACCCAGCUGGAGACAACAGACCUGCCACCCUGCUGUGUCCAUCGAGACGGCAGACCUACCUGCUGUGUCCAUCAAUCCCUGUGCCGACAGCAGUCUCGCAACUAUUGUAAAAGGGACAUUUCAAUCCUAUGUGAAACAUCCUCUUUGGGGGUAUAUAACCACUCUAUACACCCCACUUCUUUGGUGCCCUUUCUUCCUUUGGGAAAAAAGGCCCCAGGCCAUGAUCCUCACAUUUUAGCUCAGAAUAAACUCAUCCCAAAUUUUCAUUUAUAGAUUGGUUAUGGAUGAUUUUUGUCGACAUUUCUUGGUGUAGUCAUGGCAAGAUUUCAGAGAAAGCCACGGGAGACCACCUGGAAUCUACACUGAGCCGGCAUUCAGUACCAAUAGGGGCCCAUUGAGCCCCCCGGAUUACUGCAUUCUUCAGGUGACCCUGUUGAAGGCUUAUUGGAGACAGUCACUCAACUAGUAGAGUAUGAUCAGUGAGAAGAACACAAAAAGGUGGUGUUUUGGCUAUUAGAAGAAAAUCUGAAUAAAAAUGAUGAAAAAUGGGGAGAAAAUAAACCCAAGAAGUCUUAGAAAAUGAGACAAGGAACCACG